rnacentral:rRNA from 1 species
GAUGAACGCUGGCGGCGUGCCUAAUACAUGCAAGUAGAACGGUGACCCACCUUCGGGUGGCGAUCAGUGGCGAACGGGUGAGUAACGCGUGGGCAACCUGCCCUUAGCUCUGGGAUAACCCCGGGAAACCGGGGCUAAUACCGGAUACGACACCGAGCGGCAUCACUCGGUGUGGAAAGAAUUUCGCCAAAGGAUGGGCCCGCGUCGGAUUAGCUAGUGGGUGGGGUAACGGCCUACCAAGGCGACGUUCCGUAGCUGGUCUGAGAGGAUGAUCAGCACCACUGGAACGGAGAAACGGCCAAGAUCCUUACGGGAGCCAGCAGUGGGGAUUAUUGGACAAUGGGGGCAACCUUGAUCCAGCAAUGCCCCGUGAGUGAUGAAGGCCUUAGGUUUGUAAAGCUUUUCCGCCGGUGACGAUAAUACCGUUAACCGGAGAAGAAGCCCCGCUAACUUCGUGCCAGCCGCCGCGGUAA